rnacentral:rRNA from 1 species
UACGUAGGGUGCAAGCGUUAAUCGGAAUUACUGGGCGUAAAGCGCACGUAGGCGGACUCUUAAGUCGGUGGUGAAAUCCUGGAGCUCAACUCCAGAACUGCCUUCGAUACUGGGAGUCUCGAGUCCGGGGAGAGGUGAGUGGAACUGCGAGUGUAGAGGUGAAAUUCGUAGAUAUUCGCAAGAACACCAGUGGCGAAGGCGGCUCACUGGCCCGGUACUGACGCUGAGGUGCGAAAGCGUGGGGAGCAAACAGG